rnacentral:lncRNA from 1 species
CGACAAAGAUUCUUAAUAUGUAGCAAAUGCUCAUCACAACUGUCAAAUUUCAGCGGCAUCUUCAUCAACAUGUACCUUUCUCUCCCUAUCUCCUUUGCGCAUAAUCUGUAGCUAGCUGCUAAUUAGGAGCCAUCAUCCCAAGAAGAAGAAGAAAAUAAUUAGGGGUCAUCACACUGUCUCAGCGAAAUGCCUUCUUAAUCUCAGGCAUGGGCCACCCUAAUCUUGCAAAUGCUCAUCACAACUGUUACAUUCCAGCGCCACCUUCUUCAGUUUGGAGUUCCAAGGAUGAGAGGCUUCUUAAUCCAUCAACCGACUCUGCGCAAGCAAGACAGGUAAUAAUCAGAUGAUACAGAAGAACUUUCAGCUCAGGUUGUUGUACAAUUCAAUACUACUUCACGAGCAAAAUGGAACAAACUAGUCACAUGCCCACGCUUUGCUUCGCUGUGGGAUUCACUAGAUACUCAUCUUGAUUGAAGGUUUUAUGAAUUAGUUCCCACAAGUGUGCAGCAGGUAUAUUUUUUCUACCUGGAUGGCAUGCCCCUUAGUUUUAGCAGUACAACCAAAAAUAUCUCUCCUAAAGGUAGCCUUACAACACUAAUUACCUGGACGUUGCAUUUCAUAACAGGGUG